AGGCUUAGGUUCAAGCUAAACCAAUGGCCUUCAAAGCCUUGAAUAAGAGUUAAACCUCUUAGCCUCUGACU
rnacentral:tRNA from 3 species